GACGAACGCUGGCGGCGUGCUUAACACAUGCAAGUCGAACGGAAAGGCCCUGCUUUUGUGGGGUGCUCGAGUGGCGAACGGGUGAGUAACACGUGAGUAACCUGCCCUUGACUUCGGGAUAACUUCAGGAAACUGGGGCUAAUACCGGAUAGGCGCUCCUGCUGCAUGGUGGGGGUUGGAAAGUUUCGGCGGUUGGGGAUGGACUCGCGGCUUAUCAGCCUGUUGGUGGGGUAGUGGCUUACCAAGGCUUUGACGGGUAGCCGGCCUGGGAGGGUGACCGGCCACAGUGGGACUGAGAUGCGGGCCGGACUCCUACGGGAGGCAGCAGUGGGGGAUAGUGCACGAUGGGCGGAGGCCUGAUGCAGCAACGCCGCGUGCUGGAUGACGGCCUUCGGGGUGUAAACCGCUUUCGCCUGUGACGGAGCGUGAGUGACGGUAAUGGGUAAAGAAGCACCGGCUAACUACGUG
rnacentral:rRNA from 1 species